UAACAACAAAUAAAGCUCAAAGAGCGAUUACAUCUUCUUGGUUACAAAUCAUUAAGCUCUCUCUCUCUCAUCUUUCUGCUUCUGAAAUGGCUUCCAACAGGGUUUCGAUGAUUUUGUAUGUGCUGUUCUUCAUUAUUAUGCUUUCAAUUUCAUCUAAUAAUAAUUAUAAUGCUUCUGCAAGAAAAUUUCUUGACGUUAAUUUCCCUCUUCUUGACGAUGCCUUCGACCUUCAAAUGGGUGCAUCUUCAUUAUUUUAUAAAUUGGAAGGAGAGCUACAAAAGAGAUUCGAGGAUUUAUUAAAAACAACCACGGAUAAUGAUAUUCCUCGUGGUGGAAACUAUUAAAUGUAAACACAAAACUAUAUAGAAAUUUAUUAGAAAUUAUUAUAUUCUAUAUGCAUAUGUAUGAACUAUAUACAUAUAUGUUCCCCUUUAAUCUUGUACAUGUGAAAUUGAGGCAAAAUAAUGAAUACAAGUUUGUAUAAGUUAAAAAAAGGUUUUUCUUUUU